AUAACGUGUUUGUAUUGUAGACGUGGAAAGGAUGGAAUCGGCAAGCGAUGCGGGUGAAUGUUUCAGCCUACAACAAUCCAUGUCAUCAGCGGGUCCGGAAAAUGUGCUAGUGCUGGAUGGACUGCCCCUUGAACCAUUUGUGCCCUACCAGAUAGUCAGCCAAUAUGGGUUCCAUUACACAUUAGUACCGCACAAGCCAGAAUCUGUAGCGGAAAGGGUUCAGGACAAGGAAACACAAACAGCUAUUCCGACAUCCACGCUUGGCACUCAAACUGGGUUCCACAUGCAAAGUAGGGAAAGCCAGACAGGCAUGAGCCUUCCCCCUUCCAGCUCCCUUCUGUUGACAUCAUCUGAACUAGCAACUUGGUGUCCAGAAGACAGCAACAUUGAAAGCGUGGAGGUCUCUGCAGGACAGGCUUCCAUGCAGCAUAUAGGUGCACCAGCAUUUGAGG